rnacentral:lncRNA from 1 species
AGUCUUGGGGAUGUAAUGUACUGCAUGGUGACUACAGUUAAUACUAUACUGCAUAUUUUAAAGCUGCUGAGAGAGUAAAUCUUAAAAGUCCUCAUAAGUUUUGUUAACUAUGUAUGGUGAUGGACGGUAAUUAGCGAUUAUUUUUACAAAUGCUGAAUCAUUAUGUUGUAUACUUGAAAGUAUUUUAAUGUUGUCAAUUAAACUUCAAUAAAAAUUAAAUUAAAAAAUAACAUGAAAAGUGCAUAUAAAGGUCCCUAUACAGGUAUUACAUGUUCUAAAAAUAUACUCAGAAUAUGAAAACAUAUAGUCAUAUUAUAGUUGAAAAAAGAUUACAAGCCACUUAAAUUCUCCUUUUAAAAUCCUUCUUUUAAAAGUAACAGGAAACCAACUCAAGAUAGCAGGAAGAGGGACGCCUGGGGGCUCAGCCGUUGAGCGUCUGCCCUCAGCUUAGGGCGAGAUCUCCAGAUCCGGGGAUCGAGUCCCGCAUCAGGCUCUUCUCCCGAGGGGAGGGGAGCCUGCUUCUCCCUCUGCCUGUGUCUCCGCCUCUCUUUCUCUGUGUCUCUCAUGAAUAAAUAAAUAAAAUAUUAAAAAAAAAAAAGAAACUAUACUAAGAGUAUUAUUGGAAUAAUGGGAUGAAAGAUGAGUGAGCUGCUGGGCUUCAUACAGGAAAUGGAAAGCUACUAGGAUAUUCUUUAUGUGCUUCAUCCUUGUGCACUUUUGUCAUUUGAUGAGCCAAGUGUAAGUCCGCUAUGGCUAGAUGACAUCUUUGUCCUAGCGUGAUCUUAAGGAGCCCAAAGAAAUGAGGCUUGUGAAUGCAAGAUAAAUACCCCCACAGGACCUAUUCAAGAAUGUGGAAACAUAUUUUUUUAAUUUUAGGAUAAAAGUUGUCUUCCUAGAAAAUUAAUAGAAACAUGUAAGCCAAAUUUUAACAGCAGUUAUUUAUUGGUAUAAAAUUUUGAGGAACUUUAUCUUCUUUUGCUUAUAAAUAUUUUCUAUAAUUUAUGUUGAGGGAUAUGUUAAUUUCAUAAUUAAAAAUCAAUCUUAGAAGCUAAACUAUCAGGCCAUUACGAGAUAAUGCUAAAUGAGGGAAAACAGGAUUUAAAAAUCCACACUGUUGAGAGGGCGGGGCCAGAUGGCAGAGAGUAGGGUCCCCAGUCCCCUGUCCCAUCAACUUACCUAGAUAACUUUUAAAUCAGCCUGAAAACCUACGGAUUCGACCUGAGAUCUAAAGAGAGAACAGCUGGACCUGCAGAGAGAAGGGUCUGCGCCUCUAACCCGCUAGGAAGGCGGAAACAAAAAUGAACCCAGUGGGGGCGGGCCCAGCCCCGAAUUCCUCCUGGAGGGAAAAGCUCUUGCCAGGGGUGGGGCACCCGGGCGAGCACGGUCAAGGGUGGGGGCGCCGGCGGGGACUCGGGAAGAAGCCGGCCGGUCAGGGGGGCCCUGGAGCCCAGGGCGCCGGGGGACACAGCCGGGAUCCUGUGCUCCCCCGGGUCCGGCGGAGGCUGGGAGGACCCAGGGCAGCGCGGAUGCUCCCCCGCCAGCGCCCUGAGCUCUGCAGGUCAGUGCCCCACGCCCCGGAGCACCCAGGCCCCUGCGGACCCGGAGCUGCGGGAGUUCCUCCGGGACCUGACUCCAGAGCUGGAGGGCUGGCUGCCGCCAGUGUGGUUGUCCCUCCUGGUGUCACCCUGUGCCUGGGAUGGAGCUGGGCCACCAGGGAACAGAGGCCUCAUGGGGUCAACAGCUCCCACUGAGCCGUGCACCUGGUGGGGGGGGGGGGACAGCUCCCCCAGGUGCACACACCUGAGCAUCAGCACAGCAGCCCCUCCCCCAGAGACCAGCUGGAAGGGCGGGAAAGGGCAAGUUCUGGACAGAGCAGCGCUGGAGAGCUCCAGGGGACGUUGAGGGUCUUAAGGUAUAUAGAACCAGAGGGUGCCUCUUUUUUUUUUUUUUCUUCCUUUUUCCAGUAAACUUGUUUUUCUAUCAGACUGUAAAUUUCCAAUUUUUUCCUUUUCCCACCUUAACUACAAUAUUUCACCACCUCUUCAUUUUUAAGAUUCUUCCAUUUUGAGUUUCAUACUUCUACAAUUACAGGUCCUAGAUAUAUUUUCCACUCUCAGAUUCCCUUGAACAUAUUCAACUUAAUUUUGGGAGAUAUACAAGAUAUGAUUUUUUUGUUGUUUUUUUGUUUUCUCUGCCUCAUUUUGUUCUACAAUGGCAGACAUUAAUACCUUCUAAACAUGAACAGCAUGCACUCUGAACCAAGUGGUUUGCUGUGCUCAUUCAGUGAGAUUCCUCAUUCCCAUUCAGCCCCCCUCUUUUAUCUCGUUUAUGUUUUGGUGGUCACUGCUGGGGCUCUCUACAAGUAUUGCUGGUUUAUAUAAAUUUGGGACUGAGCAUCUUCUAACAUACAGAACUUAAUAUACUGAGAAACAAGAGGAUAACCGUCUAGGACCCCUCAGGUAGACUACAUUCUCCCUCCACUACAACUUCCUCAUCACAACCAUCUCCCAGUCCCCCCCACUUUUUCCUUUCUUUUCUCUUCUUCUUUAGGAUUCCUGGCCUUUUAUUUUUUACUACUAUGUUUUAAAAUUUGUUUUUCACUUCAGUGGCCCUUUUGUAUCAUUUCGUUUUGAUCUUUGUUUUCAAUUUCUGGUCUCUGACCUCAUCAGAAGGUCGUGGUUGAUAUUCUUGACUCAGCCCGCUCAUACAGCUACUGUGCACUGAGCAAAAUGACGAAAAGGAGGAAUUCACCACAAAGAAAGAAGCAGAAACAGUGCUCUCUGCCACAGAGUUACAGAAUAUGGAUUACAAUUCAAUGUAAGAAAGCCAAUUCAGAAGCACAAUUAUAAAGCUACUGGUGGCUCUGGAAAAAAGCAUAAAGGAUUCAAGAGACUUCAUGACUGCAGAAUUUAGAUCUAAUCAGGCUGAAAUUUAAAAUCAAUGAAAUGAGAUGCAAUCCAAAAUGGAUGUCCUAACAACAAAGGUUAAUAAGGUAGAAGAAAGAGUGAGUGACCUAGAAGACAAGUUGAUAGCAAAGAAGGAAGCUGAGGAAAAAAGAGAAAAACAAUUAAAAGACCAUGAGGAAAGGUUAAGGGAAAUAAAUGACAGCCUCAGAAGGAAAAAUCUAUGUAUAAUUGGGGUUCCAGAGGGUGCUGAGAGGGACAGAGGACCAGAAAGCUAUUUGAACAAAUCAUAGCUGAGAACUUCCCUAAUUUGGGAGGGAAACAGGUAUUCAGAUCCAGGAGAUAGACAGGUGCCCCCCCCCCUAAAAUCAAUAAAAACCAUUCAACACCUCGACAUUUAAUACUGAAACUUGCAAAUUCCAAAGAUAAAGAGAAAAUCCUUAAAGCAGCAAGAGACAAGAGAUCCCUAACUACUAUGGGGAGAAAUAUUAGAUUAACAGCAGCCCUCUCCACAGAGACCUGGCAGGCCAGAAAGGGCUGGCAGGAUAUAUUCCGGGUCCUAAAUGAGAAGAACAUGCAGCCAAGAAUACUCUAUCCAGCAAGGCUCUCAUUCAGGAUAGAAGGAGAGAUAAAGAGCUUCCCAGAUAGGCAGAAACUGAAAGAAUAUGUGACCACCAAACCAGCUCUGCAAGACAUAUUAAGGGGGACCCUAUAAAAGAAGGAAGUCCAAAGAAAUAAUCCACAAAAACAGGGACUGAAGAGGUAUUAUGAUGACACUAAAUUCAUAUAGUUACUCUGAACAUGAAUGGGCUACAUGAUCCCAUCAAAAGACGCAGGGUUUCAGACUGGAUAAAAAAGCAAGACCCAGGGCAGCCUGGGUGGCUCAGCAGUUUAGCGCCACCUUCAGCCCGGGGCCUGAUCCUGGAGACCUGGGAUCGAGUCCCACGUCAGGCUCCCUGCAUGGAGCCCGCUUCUCCCUCUGCCUGUGUCUCUGCCUCUCUCCCUCUGUGUCUCUCAUGAAUAAAUAAAUAACAUCUUUAAAAAAAAAAAAAAAAAAA